UAAACAAAAUAAUAUAUCUAAAUGUAUGUACAAAGAAGAGAAUAACUAACCACACUUCUUAGUAUCAUAAAGAUAUCGUGUUCUUCAGAAUUAGACAAAGCAAGACCAACUCCAAUUUUAUCAGCUUUAUACCCUUCAACUCGAUGUAAUAAAUAGUGAGGUGGUCAAAACUAAACUGGAGAAGUAAUACUCAAUGAUACGGUCCACAAACUGCUCCAAUGCCUUACUCCCAGAGAAAAACAUCUCAAUGUCAUAAAUCCAAGGUCAGACUGAAUUCACAGAUAACCGAGGAAGGGACAAACUUACCAAUCUGCAGGCUUACUCAAAGCAUCUAAAACAGCUCGUAAAGCAAUACUCAGCGUAAGGUGAGUCACACGUUGAUGCUUAAUGACUGAUCCUGAAGCAGAAGCAUUCACAAAGGAUAAACAUUAUAGGUAAACUGAAAAUUUUAGAACAGGGUAACAUUACAACUCAUAGUUAUGUUGAAUAGUAUAUUACAACACUAUUAAUUUGUUCUUA